rnacentral:rRNA from 1 species
ACCAAGACCUUCGGGUUUUGGGGACAGCGGCGAACGGGUGAGUAACACGUGAGUAAUCCACCCUUGGUACCGGGAUAGCUCGGGGAAACUCGAAUUAAUACCGGAUAGCCCAUUAGCCUUUCGAGGCGAAUGGAAAAGGUAGCUUCGGCCUCCGACCAAGGACGAGCUCGCGGCGGAUUAGCUUGUUGGCGGGGUAAUGGCCCACCAAGGCGACGAUCCGUAGCUGGUCUGAGAGGACGAUCAGCCACACUGGGACUGAGACACGGCCCAGACUCCUACGGGAGGCAGCAGUGGGGAAUCUUGCGCAAUGGGCGAAAGCCUGACGCGGCGACGCCGCGUGAGGGAAGAAGGCCUUCGGG